AACGUUUUUUAAAUGAUGAGGAACCAGAUAGGGACAACAGACUUCGUUAGAAUGACGAGGAAAGUCUUUUAAAGCCCAGUUUUUAGUAGAGCUUGGGCGCCAAACCUGAUUAAAAAACGUU
rnacentral:snoRNA from 1 species